rnacentral:rRNA from 1 species
AGAGUUUGAUCCUGGCUCAGGACGAACGCUGGCGGCGUGCCUAAUACAUGCAAGUCGAGCGGACCGGGCGGGAGCUUGCUUCCGCUUGGUUAGCGGCGGACGGGUGAGUAACACGUGGGUAACCUGCCCGUAAGACCGGGAUAACUCCGGGAAACCGGGGCUAAUACCGGAUAACACCGAAGACCGCAUGGUCUUCGGUUGAAAGGCGGCUUCGGCUGCCACUUACGGAUGGGCCCGCGGCGCAUUAGCUAGUUGGUGAGGUAACGGCUCACCAAGGCGACGAUGCGUAGCCGGCCUGAGAGGGUGACCGGCCACACUGGGACUGAGACACGGCCCAGACUCCUACGGGAGGCAGCAGUAGGGAAUCUUCCGCAAUGGACGAAAGUCUGACGGAGCGACGCCGCGUGAGCGAAGAAGGU